GACGAACGCUGGCGGCGUGCUUAACACAUGCAAGUCGAGCGGAAAGGCCACUUCGGUGGUACUCGAGCGGCGAACGGGUGAGUAACCCGUGAGUAAUCUGCCCCUCACUUUGGGAUAGCCACCGGAAACGGUGAUUAAUACCGGAUAUGACCAUAUGUCGCAUGGCGUGUGGUGGAAAGUUUUUCGGUGAGGGAUGUGCUCGCGGCCUAUCAGCUUGAUGGUGAGGUAAUGGCUCACCAUGGCUUCGACGGGUAGCCGGCCUGAGAGGGUGACCGGUCACACUGGGACUGAGACACGGCCCAGACUCCUACGGGAGGCAGCAGUGGGGAAUAUUGGACAAUGGGCGGAAGCCUGAUCCAGCAACGCCGCGUGAGGGAUGACGGCCUUCGGGUUGUAAACCUCUUUCAGUACCGACGAAGCGCAAGUGACGGUAGGUACAGAAGAAGCACCGGCCAACUACGUG
rnacentral:rRNA from 1 species